GCGCUGAGAUGCUGGGCUGCUCAGAGCUGGGAGACAUUCUGCAUCUGUGUGCACCGGGUCAGGCUGGGGAGAGUGAUUGAUUUUUGGCCCAGUGCACUGCGGGGUUUGGGAGGGGGGGGUACCUAUUUAAGCGAAUGCCUUGACGCUUAAUUGGGAAUUGGGAGCAUUGGGGCUAGACUCGCUGCUGCUGCUGCUGCUGCUGCUGCUGCUGCUGCUGCUGCUGCUGCUGCUGCUGCUGCGUCCGGACAGUCCUGGCUGGCGAUCACUGGCUGCGGUGGCACCAAAAGGCAGAGACGGAGAAAGGUGCUCGAGGUUUCUAAAUACGAUGGUCGCAGAGCAAUUAUGCUGUUUUCUCCCAGUUCAGGUGUCCAGUUGCAUUUUUCGAGGCUCAUUAGUGCUAUUGUUUCUUCAACUUGCUGUGCACGAGAAGGGACAGUUCCUUCAAGUGCAGCAACCAUAUGUAAGUUGUUUACUUACCCGGCCGCCACAUACAUUGGUGGCAUUUGACUUUAAAAUGCGGCAUCCCUUUUAAAUAGACAGGGUCCUACAUCCUAGAUCCUGAUGGAGGCUGUGUGUGUUUUACUCUGCAGAAGAGAGCUGCAGGACCGGAUGUCGUCUUCAUCUGUGAACCACCAGGAUCCCUGGGAAGAUAGAUGGCAUGCCCCAAGGGACAGUGACUUUCUCCUUUGACCAAAUUAUAACCUAGGGUACCCUUCAACUCCCAGAAGGGAUCCUUCUCACGUUUUGACCUCUUUGUCUCUUUUCCCUAUGGGUUAGUUUUUCUUCCUGGGUACAAGAGUAUAAAUGCUGUGAUCUUCCCCACCUUUAAAAUCUUUAGGCCUUUUCUCCUUGGGCAGAUACCCAGUUAGGACUUUGGGGACUGUGAAGAACCCCAGAGGCCUACUAGUGAACACAAACUAUUAGUUCUCCCUUUCUUCUUCCUGUUUCUUUACAAAGGAUAUGAAAGGUGGUCUUUGGUUCAAGCGGUAGAGAGGCCAUCGCCAAGGUCGCUGUGCUCCAAACGCGACUGAAAACCGGUCUAGAGGAGGGGACUGUGAUUGACCUUCAAAGGAUUAAGGUCCAAGAGAGAUCGGCUUCCUAAACUCUUCUUGUCUCGAGCUGCGCGGUGCAAGGGUAUAUCGAUCCAUGGCCUUGGCUCUCGUUCCCUGCAUCACAGAGACCCAAGCUGGUUCAGACCCACGUGUGUACUUUCCGGGAUGCUAGGCUUGGGUGGGAAGCUCCUGGGUCUGCCACUAUCGACCUGCUAAGUCCGAAUCUUCCUGCAAAGCCCGAGAGGACAGACCCGCCCUAGGAGGCUGACAGGGAGUCAGUCGCCAAGCUAGCUGGAAGCGAACCGCUCCACUGCCUGGCCCCGGCGGUGCCAAGCAGAGAGCUGAUUUGGGGCAGUCCCCGUGGAUCCCACGCUGCCCUGUAGUUGCUGGGACACGAAGAUUCCUGCUGGGGUCAGAGAACCGCCGCUCCCUGGUGGAUGGGAGUCCUGAGCCGGGGCCCAGAAUGAAUCUCACUGACGCCUGAAUCUGCUUCGCGUGCUCACCCGGCCUACAAGUCUCUCCUGAGUCCCCGGUGGCCUAAUGCUCUACGCUCAGAGUGUCAGCGGCCAUCCCUGGACAUCUGACCGAAGCUGUGAAGGAGCAGAAAGAGAUCGGCGGGAGGCGCAGACAGCCUUGCAGAGGGAGGGGAGGAAAAGCGUAUUUAUUGGACUGGCAUUUCUCUUAACAGAGCUCUUUCCUAAUGAUAUUUACUUAACUGUAUUUGACAGCAGUUACGAGCACGUCUCCGGUAAACAGGAUCUAUACUCCUUGUGCCUACAACUGCCUGUCAGUUCCUAAGCCAAUCGCAGUAAUAACCGCUGGAUCAUUCUAAAUGUGGCUAAACAGACGUUGGAAAAAUCAGUCUGCCACGCGCUGGCUCUGAAGGAAAUCUCUUGCACAGUUUGACGAAUUGUUUCCAGUCCCUCCAGCAAUUCAUAACUCGCUCUCUUUCGUCCUCUUCUCAAACCCCCCUCUCCCGGUUUCUCCCCUUUUCUCCCUCUUCCACAGAGCGCAGCCCCCGGCGUUUUACCCUUUCUAAGAGGACUCCAGGUAAUCCGAAAUGGCACUGACCCUUCUCAUCCUCCGAUUACCUCUCUGAAGCAUGAACUUGGGACAAAAAUCACACAUCAGAAAAUUCGCCGUGAUUAUGUUUGCAGUGCUAUCAGCACCGAUCAAUCACGCGCGCGGCCUAAUGCUGGAAUGCCCGAUUCAGCCCGGGACGCAGGCUGCAUCUCGCCUGACUGACAGUUUUGGUAAUUAAGUGAUUGUAUAGACCUCUCCGACUGUUCUAACAACCUUGUCAGGGCCGUCUGUGGACAGAACAAGCUGAAAUCAAUGUGCUUCCUGCUCUCUUGAGCAGUUCUGAUCGUGUACUCAGACCGAAUGGGGAGCGGGAAUCUGACCAAAGGAAAACUGCUAUUCUAAAUGAUCCGGAUUAAUGGAGGGGGUUGGGUGGAGAAAGUUUACUUCUCGGAGGGAGGAAGGAACCGGAGGCAAGGACCAGGCACCCCUUCUUCGCUGAGCCAGGCUGUGUACCAGAGUGGGGCUUGAAGCCCAGCGAGUUUUACUCAGGGUUCCCAGGCAAGACUGGUGAGCCAGUCCCUCCGUGGGAAGGGCCUUGGAGCUGUACGGUAGUCCCUGAGCCCGGAAGCGAUCAGCUGUGGCCCGCACGCAGCAGCCAGAACUCGGUGGUACAUAGGUUUUCGUCUGGAUUAGAGGCAGAGGGGCUGGUGGCUCCGUGUAAAUGUCAUACAGUAGCUUUUAAUAAAGGGAUGUUCA
rnacentral:sRNA from 1 species